UACGGAGGGGGCAAGCGUUGUUCGGAAUUACUGGGCGUAAAGGGCGAGUAGGCGGCUUCGUAAGUCACGUGUGAAAGCCCUCGGCUCAACCGGGGAACUGCACCUGAAACUGCGAGGCUUGAGUCCGGGAGAGGGAAGCGGAAUUCCCAGUGUAGCGGUGAAAUGCGUAGAUAUUGGGAGGAACACCGGUGGCGAAGGCGGCUUCCUGGACCGGUACUGACGCUCAGGAGCGAAAGCUAGGGGAGCGAAUGGG
rnacentral:rRNA from 1 species